rnacentral:rRNA from 1 species
CCCUUAGAUGUUCUGGGCCGCACGCGCGCUACACUGAUGCAUUCAACGAGUCUAAAACCUGCUCUGAUAGGGGUGGGUAAUCUUAUGAAUGUGCAUCGUGAUUGGGAUAGAUGAUUGCAAUUUUUCAUCUUCAACGAGGAAUGCCUAGUAAACGCAAGUCAUCAGCUUGCAUUGAUUACGUCCCUGCCCUUUGUACACACCGCCCGUCGCUCCUACCGAUUGAGUGGUCCGGUGAGGCUUUGGAAUCUGAGCGGAAAGAGCGUUUCGCUGUUUCUGCUCGGAAAACUCAGUCGAACCUUAUCAUUUAGAGGAAGGAGAAGUCGUAACA